AUCAGACGCCAUGUUCUUUUUAACCUCAAUCUUUAAUUGUUGGAUGGUUUGUUUUGAUAUUGGUUGUCAGAUUUCGGAUUGCUACUAUUAUACUGUGAAAUUAAUUUGCAGUGGAAAAUUGAGGUAUAAAAUAUUUCUAUUGGUUUCUUUAUUCUUAUAAUUUUUACAAGAGAAAUUGAAAAUGGAUUUACAACAGAAAGGCGUGAAAUUUUCGAAGUUCAAAGUUUUGUACUUUCCAGACCUGCACAACGAAUUACCUAUUUGAAAAAUAGAAUAUGGUUAGAAAUUGCUGAUGUAAUAGAGGAUUCAAGUACCAUUUACAAACAAAAAUUGAAGAGAAUGUGCUCAAAGGAAAUGCAUAUGAAUUCUUUUUUGUUGACCAGGAUGGAACAAUUCUUUGGAACCUAUACUUAGAAUAAGUUAGUUAGGCCUAGUGAUGUACCAGCCAGAAGUAGAGGAUGACAAAGAAAAUCAACUAUGGAUAAU
rnacentral:lncRNA from 1 species